rnacentral:rRNA from 1 species
GAUGAACGCUGGCGGCGUGCCUAAUACAUGCAAGUCGAGCGAACAGAUGAGGAGCUUGCUUCUCUGACGUUAGCGGCGGACGGGUGAGUAACACGUGGAUAACCUACCUAUAAGACUGGGAUAACUUCGGGAAACCGGAGCUAAUACCGGAUAAUAUUUUGAACCGCAUGGUUCAAUAGUGAAAGACGGUUUUGCUGUCACUUAUAGAUGGAUCCGCGCCGCAUUAGCUAGUUGGUAAGGUAACGGCUUACCAAGGCAACGAUGCGUAGCCGACCUGAGAGGGUGAUCGGCCACACUGGAACUGAGACACGGUCCAGACUCCUACGGGAGGCAGCAGUAGGGAAUCUUCCGCAAUGGGCGAAAGCCUGACGGAGCAACGCCGCGUGAGUGAUGAAGGUCUUCGGAUCGUAAAACUCUGUUAUUAGGGAAGAACAAAUGUGUAAGUAACUGUGCACGUCUUGACGGUACCUAAUCAGAAAGCCACGGCUAACUACGUG